rnacentral:lncRNA from 1 species
AUUCUUAGAAAGGAGGAGCAUAGAGCUGGAGAACCUUCUGCCAGGACGGUCUGCUGCUAAUAUCAUCCCACCAAGCACUCACAUGCUUCCUGCUGGUUAUCAUGUAUUCCCUUCCCAUUUGACCCACCAAGUACUGAGUAAAUGGCAGGUGGCUCAGAUCAGCAAGGCUGAAGAAAUCACCGGCCAAGUACUUGUUCUUUGACAGCCUCUCCUCAUAAAUAUCCAGAACUUUGCCUAGCUUUUCCUCGCUUUCCUUGAUCAAAUUUUCAUCAGGAGGGAACCCCAUCUUGGAAGCAAACAUCAAAUGUAGGGUCAAGGCGUAAAUUGGUGGGUUGAAAUUGUGUGCCUCAACCUCUAGCCAAUUUUCCACUUGACCCCUUUCCUCUACUGUCUUUCCCAGUAGAUCAGUCCCUUGUGAUUUGUAUU